AACGAACGCUGGCGGCGCGCCUAAUACAUGCAAGUCGAGCGAGAAGACGUAGCAAUACGUUUGUAAAGCGGCGAACGGGUGAGGAAUACAUGGGUAACCUACCCUCGAGUGGGGAAUAACUAGCCGAAAGGUUAGCUAAUACCGCGUACGCUCCUUGGACUUCGGUUCAGGGAGGAAAGCGAUACCGUGGGUAUCGCGCUCUUGGAUGGGCUCAUGUCCUAUCAGCUUGUUGGUGAGGUAACGGCUCACCAAGGCUUCGACGGGUAGCUGGUCUGAGAGGACGAUCAGCCACACUGGCACUGCGACACGGGCCAGACUCCGUACGGGGAGGCAGCAAGUAAGGAAUAUUGCGCAAGUGGGACGAAAGCCUGACGCAGCGACGCCGCGGUGGGGGA
rnacentral:rRNA from 1 species